UUCUGGUUGAUCCUGCCGGAGGCUACCGCUAUUGGAGUUCGAUUAAGCCAUGCGAGUCGCGAGAAAUUAGAUUCUCGGCGUACCGCUCAGUAACACGUGGGUAACCUGCCCUAUGCUGGAUAAUAACCUCGGGAAACUGAGAAUAAUGAUCCAUAGUUCACUACGCCUGGAACGGUGAGUGGAUGAAAGCUCCGGCGGCAUAGGAUGGGCCUGCGGCGUAUCAGGUUGUAGGGGGUGUAACGUACCCUCUAGCCCUCUACGCGUACGGGUGUUGGGAGACAUAGCCCGGAGAUGGAUUCUGAGACACGAAUCCAGACCCUACGGGGUGCAGCAGGCGCGAAAACUUGGCAAUGCGAGAAAUCGUGACCAGGGAACUCCAAGUGCAUCGGGUAAGACCGGUGCUUUUCUUGACUCUAAAUAGGUCUUGGAAUAAGGGGUGGGUAAGGACGGUGCCAGCCGCCGCGGUAAUACCGGCGCCUCAAGUGGUAGUCGCUUUUAUUGGGCCUAAAACGUCCGUAGCCGGUCUGAUACAUUCGUGGGUAAAUCAACCAGCUCAACUGGUUGAAUUCUGCGAGGACGGUCAGACUUGGGACCGGGAGAGGUGUGGGGUACGCUCAGGGUAGGGGUAAAAUCCUGUCAUCCUGAGCGGACCACCUGUUGCGAAGGCGCCACACUAGAACGGAUCCGACGGUCAGGGACGAAGCCUAGGGGCACGAACCGGAUUAGAUACCCGGGUAGUC
rnacentral:rRNA from 1 species